CCAGAAGAUCAUGGUGCCGGGGGGGGAUUGGGGGGCAAGAGGAAAGCGCCGGCGGGCGAGCGAGCGCCGCGGCUGCUGCCCGCGGCCGGCUGCGACGCUGCGGGAGAGGCUGACAGGAGACGAGCCGCCCCCACCCUCCUCUCCUCCUUCCCAUCCCUGGACCGGCCCCUUUUCCAUCCCAGGGCAGCCGCGGGGCCUCCGGCGCUCCCGGGGGUGCCCCUCACCGCGGCCUCCACCGUGCCCGGCCACCCCGCGCCCCUAAGCGCGCCGCACGCUGGAUCGUGCCCCAGCAGCCCCACGCGCCUCCUGACUGACCCUCGGUUCACUGAUUUCCCCUUGGUUUCAGCGCAGGCCGCCCUUCAUCCCAGAAGAGGUGAGGGCCGGAGGGACAUUUUCUCUGCCAGCAGGGCCCGAGAUGGCCGGUGCCCCCCGGCCCUGCUGGGAGGCGAAGCCCAUCCGGAGGCUGCCGGAGCCUCUCCAUGGCUGGGGACAGCCACGACGUGCAGGAGCCCUGAGCGGCUGGUGCCACCGUUCACCAAAACGAGCCCCCUCUCCCCCCCCUUCACCUGGGGGAGCGCGGCCCGAGGGGGAGAGCGCGGCCUCCACGUGGGAGGGGUAAAACCCUCGGGUUUUGCCCUCCCCACGGGGAUUUUUAAGCUCCCCCCCCCCCGCCAGUCUCCCCUCACUGCCGGGGAGGACACGCUCCUCGCCACAAGGCUCCGGGAGGGAAAGGCGAAGCCGCGGGGCACGGAGGAAGGGCGAACGCAGCCCCGCGGCGAGGCCCGAACCGCUGAGCUCCCGGCGGCGGCCACGUCUCCUCCUCCCCACUCCGCAGAGGCCUGUUUUCCUGUCAAAAGCUGCCCCAGGGGCCCGGUUCCCGGAGCAGGGCAGGGCUCCCUCCGCACCCCUCCUCGCCUUGGCGCCGGGCCUGGCAGCCAGGUGCCACCCGGCCGAGGCGCAGAGGCCCCGGGAGCCUGGCGCCUUGUUUCGGGCCCGGCGUGGCCAAAGCCACCCGUUUCACCCCGCUCCUCCUCCCGCUCGCCCUCCUGGUUUGCGGGCUGCGAGGAGCGGAGGCGAGCCCCCUCUGCGCGCCCCCUCCGUGGGGCUCCCCCCGGCAGAGCCCUCUCCAUCGCCGCCGGCCCCGCGCAGGCAGCCCCGGCCCCUUGUCUUUCUUUUUUUUUUUUUUUUUCUUUUUUUUGGCAUGUGCAAGGUGCUGCAUACACAAUCCUGUCAGGAUUCAAGCCACUGCAUUCUCCUUUUCCUUCCCAGCUCUGCGUCAUCAGUCAAAGCUGUUUUGCUUCAGGGCUAGUUCGUGCCAGUAACAGUCUGGUGCGUGGAUCAGCACCCAGUCUGAAUCACAACAUUUUCAGACGGAGAGGGCCGCUGCUAAGGGCAGACCAGGGCAUAAGAGCACAGCCAGAAUAA
rnacentral:lncRNA from 1 species